rnacentral:lncRNA from 1 species
ACUUUAAUAGACUAAUAUACCGUACAUAGAAAUAUAUAAAUGUGAUGGAUGUAAUAUAUAUCUUUCUGAAUUGGUGAGUAUUGAAUUUAUUUUUUCGUUAAUUGUAUAUUUUUAAAACACUUUUCAGAAAUAAAGACAUUAAUAACAAGUAGCAAAAAUAACGGGAGAAUAUUAUCAAAUACUUUCGUAUGCUUGUGAUAACAGUACAGAUAAUAUUACAACUAUUUUGUUUUAGGGGCUUGACUUUAAUUAUACAGAUAUUUAGCAGGACACGGAGAUUCUGAUGCAAAUAAUUAAAAAAAUGAAGACAUAAUACAUGAAUGAAAACUUUUGAGGCUACAACUAAAAAAGGAUAAUUAUCUGCAUAUAAAAACAGGUAUAAAUAGGUCAAACUGAUUUGUUUACAUUUUGUAUACAGGUGUGUGGAAAUGGCGAUGG